UACAGAGACUGCAAGCGUUAUUCGGAUUCAUUGGGCGUAAAGGGUGCGUAGGCGGCGCGGUAAGUCGGGUGUGAAAUCUCGGAGCUUAACUCCGAAACUGCAUUCGAUACUGCCGUGCUUGAGGACUGGAGAGGAGACUGGAAUUUACGGUGUAGCGGUGAAAUGCGUAGAUAUCGUAAGGAAGACCAGUGGCGAAGGCGGGUCUCUGGACAGUUCCUGACGCUGAGGCACGAAGGUCAGGGGGAGCAAACGGG
rnacentral:rRNA from 1 species